rnacentral:rRNA from 1 species
AACCUCCCACCCGUGUUUAUUGUACCUUGUUGCUUCGGUGCGCCCGCCUCACGGCCGCCGGGGGGCUUCUGCCCCCGGGUCCGCGCGCACCGGAGACACCAUUGAACUCUGUCUGAAGAUUGCAGUCUGAGCAUAAACUAAAUAAGUUAAAACUUUCAACAACGGAUCUCUUGGUUCCGGCAUCGAUGAAGAACGCAGCGAAAUGCGAUAACUAAUGUGAAUUGCAGAAUUCAGUGAAUCAUCGAGUCUUUGAACGCACAUUGCGCCCCCUGGUAUUCCGGGGGGCAUGCCUGUCCGAGCGUCAUUGCUGCCCUCAAGCACGGCUUGUGUGUUGGGCUCCGUCCCCCCGGGGACGGGCCCGAAAGGCAGCGGCGGCACCGAGUCCGGUCCUCGAGCGUAUGGGGCUUUGUCACCCGCUCUGUAGGCCCGGCCGGCGCCAGCCGACAACCCAUCAUCCUUUUCAGGUUGACCUCGGAUCAGGUAGGGAUACCCGCUGAACUUAAGCAUAUCAAUAAGCGGAGGAAAUUACUGAGUGAGGGCCCUC